rnacentral:rRNA from 1 species
GACGAACGCUGGCGGCGUGCUUAACACAUGCAAGUCGAACGGAAAGGCCCUGCUUUUGUGGGGUGCUCGAGUGGCGAACGGGUGAGUAACACGUGAGUAACCUGCCCUUGACUUUGGGAUAACUUCAGGAAACUGGGGCUAAUACCGGAUAGGAGCUCCUGCUGCAUGGUGGGGGUUGGAAAGUUUCGGCGGUUGGGGAUGGACUCGCGGCUUAUCAGCUUGUUGGUGUGGUAGUGGCUUACCAAGGCUUUGACGGGUAGCCGGCCUGAGAGGGGGACCGGCCACAUUGGGACUGAGAUACGGCCCAGACUCCUACGGGAGGCAGCAGUGGGGAAUAUUGCACAAUGGGCGGAAGCCUGAUGCAGCAACGCCGCGUGCGGGAUGACGGCCUUCGGGUUGUAAACCGCUUUCGCCUGUGACGAAGCGUGAGUGACGGUAAUGGGUAAAGAAGCACCGGCUAACUACGUG